GGAAGAAAAGCAACGGGCAAGCUGGCAUCAAACAAAGACAAACAUGUUCCAGAUUUUUGUUUUUUUAAUUAUUUUUUGGUGGCAAGCCAUGCAUCAUUGCUGCGAGAUGUGAUGGGGUAAGGUUUUUUAAUUAUUUUUUGGUGGCAAGCCAUGCAUCAUUGCUGCAAGAUGUGAUGGGGUAAGGUUUUUUAAAUUUUUUUUUUUUGGUGGAAAGGCAUGUACCAUUGCUGUUAGUGUGGAUUAGGUAAGAAUAAAAUGCUGGAAUCGAAGAGAGAGCCGGAUGGUUACACAAAAAGUAAAAUAGAAGAGGGAGUCAGAAUG